rnacentral:sRNA from 1 species
CGCUUCGGUCCGGAGUUGAUGGGUUAUCGUACUUUUCACUACAUCCGGUUUCCUUGUCAAACCAAUACCGUUCUCUCGGGAACAAAACCUUUUCUCGUGUUCUGUUGAAGAACACAAGACCCUUCCCAUCAACACCAACUUUACUGAAGU